rnacentral:rRNA from 1 species
UACGGGGGGGGCAAGCGUUGUUCGGAAUUACUGGGCGUAAAGGGCUCGUAGGCGGCCAACUAAGUCGGACGUGAAAUCCCUCGGCUUAACCGGGGAACUGCGUCCGAUACUGGAUGGCUUGAGUUUGGGAGAGGGAUGCGGAAUUCCAGGUGUAGCGGUGAAAUGCGCAGAUAUCGGGAAGAACACCCGUGGCUAAGGCGGCUCUCUAGUACGGUACUGACGCUGAGACGCGAAAGCGUGGGGAGCGAACAGG